UGUGUUUAAUACAUGCAAGUCGAGCGGCCAUUUAUGGCAGCGGCGAACGGGUGAGUAACGCGUUGGGAUCUGCCCCGAACUCAGGGAUAACAUCGAGAAAUCGGUGCUAAUACCGGAUAGUCUCGCAAGAGUAAAGAUUUUCGGUUCGGGAGGAACCUGCGCCCUAUUAGCUAGUUGGUAAGGUAAUGGCUUACCAAGGCGAUGAUGGGUAGCUGGUCUGAGAGGAUGAUCAGCCACAAUGGGACUGAGACACGGCCCAUACUCC
rnacentral:rRNA from 1 species